rnacentral:rRNA from 1 species
UACGUAGGGGGCAAGCGUUGUCCGGAUUUAUUGGGCGUAAAGAGCGUGUAGGCGGUUUGGUAGGUCCGCUGUGAAAACUCGAGGCUCAACCUCGAGACGCCGGUGGAAACCAUCAGACUAGAGUCCGGAAGAGGAGAGUGGAAUUCCUGGUGUAGCGGUGAAAUGCGCAGAUAUCAGGAAGAACACCGGUGGCGAAGGCGGUUCUCUGGGCAUGUCCUGACGCUGAGGAGCGAAAGUGUGGGGAGCGAACAGG